rnacentral:rRNA from 1 species
UACGUAGGGUGCGAGCGUUGUCCGGAAUUAUUGGGCGUAAAGAGCUCGUAGGCGGCCUGUCGCGUCGGUUGUGAAAGCCCGGGGCUUAACCCCGGGUCUGCAGUCGAUACGGGCAGGCUAGAGUUCGGUAGGGGAGAUCGGAAUUCCUGGUGUAGCGGUGAAAUGCGCAGAUAUCAGGAGGAACACCGGUGGCGAAGGCAGGUCACUGGGCCGCAACUGACGCUGAGGAGCGAAAGCAUGGGGAGCGAACAGG